GAUGAAGAACGUAGCGAAAUGCGAUACUUGGUGUGAAUUGCAGAAUCCCGUGAACCAUCGAGUCUUUGAACGCAAGUUGCGCCCGAAGCCACUAGGCCGAGGGCACGCCUGCCUGGGCGUCACACGCCGUUGCCCCCCCAUCUACUCCUUCGGGAUUGCGGGGGGGGCGGAUGAUGGCCUCCUGUGCGCCUAGCCGCGCGGUUGGCAUAAAUACCAAGUCCUCGGCGACGCACGCCACGACAAUCGGUGGUUGCGAAACCUCGGUUGCCCGUCGUGUGCGUUCGUCGCGCAUCGAGGGCUCGAAAAAAUGCUCGGCUCCGGCUGGGCUUUCAACGCGACCCCAGGUCAGGCGGGGUUACCCGCUGAAUUUAAGCAUAUCAAUAAGCGGAGGA
rnacentral:misc_RNA from 1 species